UUCCUAACUGUAUACCUCGGCACAGUGAGAAUCACAAGUGAUUCUCACUGUGCCGAGGUAUACAGUUAGGAA